GCAAGACUUACAAACUUAGUGCAACGGAUUUCUAAUCCGUAGGUCGCGCGUUCGAGUCGCGCCGGGUGUA
rnacentral:tRNA from 1 species